UUUCCGUAGGUGAACCUGCGGAAGGAUCAUUCAUAAUAAAGUGUUUUAUGGCACUUUUUAAAAAUCCAUAUCCACCUUUUGUGCAAUGUUAGAUCUCGUCAAUCUUGGCGAGAUUUUUAUACAUCAACUCAUUCCUUAACUAAUUUGUCUGAAAAAUAUUAUGAAUACUUAAUUCAAAAUACAACUUUCAACAACGGAUCUCUUGGCUCUC
rnacentral:misc_RNA from 1 species